rnacentral:rRNA from 1 species
GACGAACGCUGGCGGCGUGCUUAACACAUGCAAGUCGAACGGAAAGGCCCUGCUUUUGUGGGGUGCUCGAGUGGCGAACGGGUGAGUAACACGUGAGUAACCUGCCCUUGACUUUGGGAUAACUUCAGGAAACUGGGGCUAAUACCGGAUAGGAGCUCCUGCUGCAUGGUGGGGGUUGGAAAGUUUCGGCGGUUGGGGAUGGACUCGCGGCUUAUCAGCUUGUUGGUGGGGGAGUGGCUUACCAAGGCUUUGACGGGUAGCCGGCCUGGGAGGGUGACCGGCGACCUUGGGACUGCGAUACGGCCCAGACUCCUACGGGAGGCAGCAGUGGGGAAUAUUGCACAAUGGGCGGAAGCCUGAUGCAGCAACGCCGCGGUCGGGAUGACGGCCUUCGGGGUGUGAACCGCUUUCGCCUGUGACGCAGCGUGAGUGACGGUAAUGGGUAAAGAAGCACCGGCUAACUACGUG